rnacentral:rRNA from 1 species
AGGGCCGUUGGAGACCACAACGUUGAUAGGUGGGGUGUGUAAGCGCGGCGACGUGUUGAGCUAACCCAUACUAAUUACCCGUGAGGCUUAACCAU